ACGACGCUGGCGGCGUGCCUAAUACAUGCAAGUCGAACGGUCUUUCUAUGGAAGCUUGCUUCCACUGAGAAGAUAGUGGCGAACGGGUGAGUAACACGUGGGUAACCUGCCCAUAAGAGGGGGAUAACAUCCGGAAACGGGUGCUAAUACCGCAUAGUUUUCUUGAUCGCAUGAUUGAGAAAGGAAAGACGGCCUUUGUGCUGUCGCUUAUGGAUGGACCCGCGGCGUAUUAGUUAGUUGGUGAGGUGAUGGCUCACCAAGACGAUGAUACGUAGCCGACCUGAGAGGGUGAUCGGCCACAUUGGGACUGAGACACGGCCCAAACUCCUACGGGAGGCAGCAGUAGGGAAUCUUCCGCAAUGGACGAAAGUCUGACGGAGCAACGCCGCGUGAGUGAAGAAAAGGUUUUCGGAUCGUAAAACUCUGUUGUCAGAGAAGAACAAGUUGGAGAGUAACUGCUCCAGCCUUGACGGUAUCUGACCAGAAAGCCACGGCUAACUACGUGCCAGCCGCUGC
rnacentral:rRNA from 1 species